rnacentral:rRNA from 1 species
GACGAACGCUGGCGGCGUGCUUAAACACAUGCAAGUCGAACGGACCUGUUUUUGAAGCGCUUCGGCGUGGAUGGAGCGGGUUAGUGGCGCACGGGUGAGUAAUGCGCGAGGACCUGCCCGCGGGAGGGGGACAGCAGUUGGAAACGGCUGGUGAUACCCCGUAGGCCGGGAGGUGAAAGGGCGGAGACGCCCGCCUGCGGAUGGACUCGCGUCCUAUCAGCUAGUUGGUGAGGCAACGGCUCACCAAGGCGACGACGGGUAGCCGGCCUGAGAGGGUGUCCGGCCACACUGGAACUGAGACACGGUCCAGACUCCUACGGGAGGCAGCAGUGGGGAAUUUUGGGGCAAUGGGGGAGACCCUGACCCAGCGACGCCGCGUGAGGGACGAAGGCCCUUGGGUCGUAAACCUCUUUUGCAGGGGAAGAAGAAGAUGACGGUACCUUGCGAACAAGUCCCGGCUAACUACGUG